GUGGGUAUGGGAAAGCUUGGUAAUCCGCUUGUUUUGGGAACAAGAGAACGCGAGUUCGAGUCUCGCUGCCCGCAC
rnacentral:tRNA from 1 species